AUUGAACGCUGGCGGCAGGCUUAACACAUGCAAGUCGAGCGGAGAUGAGGUGCUUGCACCUUAUCUUAGCGGCGGACGGGUGAGUAAUGCUUAGGAAUCUGCCUAUUAGUGGGGGACAACAUUCCGAAAGGAAUGCUAAUACCGCAUACGUCCUACGGGAGAAAGCAGGGGAUCUUCGGACCUUGCGCUAAUAGAUGAGCCUAAGUCAGAUUAGCUAGUUGGUGGGGUAAAGGCCUACCAAGGCGACGAUCUGUAGCGGGUCUGAGAGGAUGAUCCGCCACACUGGGACUGAGACACGGACCAGACUCCUACGGGAGGCAGCAGUGGGGAAUAUUGGACAAUGGGGGGAACCCUGAUCCAGCCAUGCCGCGUGUGUGAAGAAGGCCUUAUGGUUGUAAAGCACUUUAAGCGAGGAGGAGGCUCUUUUGGUUAAUACCCAAGAUGAGUGGACGUUACUCGCAGAAUAAGCACCGGCUAACUCUGUGCCAGCAGCCGCCGCGG
rnacentral:rRNA from 1 species